AGAGUUUGAUCCUGGCUCAGAUUGAACGCUGGCGGCAUGCUUUACACGUGCAAGUCGAGCGGCAGCGCGGGGCAACCUGGCGGCGAGCGGCGAACGGGUGAGUAAUAGAUAGGAACGUGUCCGGGAGUGGGGGAUAACUAGCCGAAAGGUUAGCUAAUACCGCAUAUUCUGUGCGCAGGAAAGCGGGGGACCUGCAAGGGCCUCGCGCUCGCGGAGUGGCCUAUCUCCGAUUAGCUAGUUGGUGAGGUAAAGGCUUACCAAGGCGACGAUCGGUAGCUGGUCUGAGAGGAUGAUCAGCCACACUGGGACUGAGACACGGCCCAGACUCCUACGGGAGGCAGCAGUGGGGAAUUUUGGACAAUGGGGGCAACCCUGAUCCAGCCAUGCCGCGUGCGGGAAGAAGGCCUUCGGGUUGUAAACCGCUUUUAUUCGGAAAGAAGGAGUGGAGGUUAAUACCCGCCAUGACAGACGGUACCGGAUGAAUAAGCACCGGCUAACUACGUGCCAGCAGCCGCGGUAAUACGUAGGGUGCGAGCGUUAAUCGGAAUUACUGGGCGUAAAGCGUGCGCAGGCGGUUGGCAAAGUCAGCUGUGAAAGCCCCGGGCUUAACCUGGGAAUUGCGGUUGAAACUAGUCGACUAGAAUUUGGCAGAGGGGGGUGGAAUUCCACGUGUAGCAGUGAAAUGCGUAGAGAUGUGGAGGAACACCGAUGGCGAAGGCAGCCCCCUGGGCUGGAAUUGACGCUCAGGCACGAAAGCGUGGGGAGCAAACAGGA
rnacentral:rRNA from 1 species